rnacentral:rRNA from 1 species
UACGAAGGGGGCUAGCGUUGCUCGGAAUCACUGGGCGUAAAGCGCACGUAGGCGGAUUGCUAAGUCAGGGGUGAAAUCCUGGAGCUCAACUCCAGAACUGCCUUCGAUACUGGCGAUCUUCGAGUCCGGGAGAGGUGGGUGGAACUGCGAGUGUAGAGGUGAAAUUCGUAGAUAUUCGCAAGAACACCAGUGGCGAAGGCGGCUCACUGGCCCGGUACUGAACACUGAGGUGCGGAAAGCGUGGGGA